AUGCUCGCUUAGGCAGCACAUCUACUAAAAUUUAGAACGAUACAGAGAUUAGCGUGGCCCCUGUGCAAGGAUGACAUGCACAUUCGUGAAGUGUUCCAUAUUUUU